rnacentral:rRNA from 1 species
UACAGAGGUGGCAAGCGUUGUUCGGAAUUACUGGGCGUAAAGGGCGCGUAGGCGGUCUUCUAAGUCUUGUGUGAAAUCCCUCGGCUCAACUGAGGAACUGCACGGGAUACUGGAAGACUUGAGUUCGGGAGAGGGAAGCGGAAUUCCGGGUGUAGCGGUGAAAUGCGUAGAUAUCCGGAGGAACACCGGUGGCGAAGGCGGCAUCCUGGACCGGCAUUGACGCUGAGGAGCGAAAGCCAGGGGAGCAAACGGG